GAAGAGGGGGGAGAAAGGGGUCUGCAACCAAAGGUGGUCUGGGUCCGUCCUUUGGAUCCCGACCCCUCUUCUUCCCUCUUCUC
rnacentral:pre_miRNA from 1 species